GCUUCUAAAGGAUAACAGCCUAUCCAUUGGUCUUAGGAACCAAAAACUCUUGGUGCAAA
rnacentral:tRNA from 1 species